rnacentral:rRNA from 1 species
UACAGAGGGGGCGAGCGUUGUUCGGAAUUACUGGGCGUAAAGCGUGCGCAGGCGGUUCGUUGUGUCGGUGGUGAAAUCCCCGGGCUUAACCUGGGAAUGGCCAUGGAAACUGGCGAACUGGAGUGUGGCAGAGGGGGGUGGAAUUCCGCGUGUAGCAGUGAAAUGCGUAGAGAUGCGGAGGAACACCGAUGGCGAAGGCAGCCCCCUGGGCUAACACUGACGCUCAGGCACGAAAGCGUGGGGAGCAAACAGG